CAGGGAGACAACAAAAUGUAAAUAUUAAUUUUGUCACCUUAGGUCGAUCGGUAUCUCAGAUUCUUAAAAUAUUUAAGAAUUUCAGUUUCUAAGUUUUUUCUAGGUCACACCCAUCACUUUUUCCUGGGCCAUUAGCUCAGGUGGUUAGAGCGCACCCCUGAUAAGGGUGAGGUCCCUGGUUCAAGUCCAGGAUGGCCCAUAUCUCUAUGUUGGGGGUAUAGCUCAGUUGGUAGAGCGCCUGCUUUGCAAGCAGGAUGUCAGCGGUUCGAGUCCGCUUACCUCCACUGAAUACCACCUCUUUCAUAUUGUAAAAAGAGGGAAAUUGUUUUGAGUAGUGUCCUUUUUGUUCUGAACGAAUCUAGCUUCCUAUUUUCUUUAUAAAUAAGACGCUGGACUCACUGAAUUAUUAUUCAUUGUUUUCAGAGAACCUUGACAACUGCAUAGAUUAUUUUUAAAGACAAUAAGCAUCUUUAAUGAUGCAGAUUUAUUAUUUGUGCGAAUGCAUUAAAUAACAAUUCUAUUAAGCUGAUGCUUCAAAAUUAUGAAGUUAUU
rnacentral:tRNA from 1 species